rnacentral:rRNA from 1 species
AUUGAACGCUGGCGGCAGGCCUAACACAUGCAAGUCGAACGCGUGGCGGACGGGUGAGUAAUGUCUGGGAAACUGCCCGAUGGAGGGGGAUAACUACUGGAAACGGUAGCUAAUACCGCAUACCAUCGGAUGUGCCCAGAUGGGAUUAGCUAGUAGGUGGGGUAACGGCUCACCUAGGGGACGAUCCCUAGCUGGUCUGAGAGGAUGACCAGCCACACGGGAACUGAGACACGGUCCAGACUCCUACGGGAGGCAGGAGUGGGGAAUAUUGCACAAUGGGGGCAAGCCGGAUGCAGCCAUGCCGCGUGUAUGAAGAAGGCCUUCGGGUUGUAAAGUACUUUCAGCGGGGAGGCGUUACUCGCAGAAGAAGCACCGGCUAACUCCGUGCCAGCAGCCGCGGUAAUAC